rnacentral:lncRNA from 1 species
UCGCUUCUUCUUCGGCUUCACUUCCUGUCGCCCGGACCUUUAUUGAUGAAGAGUCGGUAAGUUCGUGAAGAAAAUUGUCACAAGACAAAGUCUAAUUCUACGUGCCUAGGGUAUCUUUCAGUGUUUUAGGGUUCUAGCAUCCAUAAUUCAUUUCGAUUAAAACAAUCAAAAACCAACAUAACAUCGACUAACCACAUAAUAUCACGUAACCACAUAACAAACAAAAUAAAAGAAUUCAACAUCCUUAAACUUAAUAUCAUUUAGAAAUUCACAUGUUCACAUAAGAGAUAAUAAUCAUGCACCGUCUUAUAACAUUCUAUACAUUUCAUUUCCAUGUAAAUAAAUACGAAAUUCCAUUAUUCAUUUAUAAAUGACUUAAAUAAGCAUUUUAAACUCCAUUAAAAUGGAAUUGAUUUAAAACAUUUUAAUCCUUUUAAAAUCCAUACUCAUAAAGCCUUAACUCAUGCUCUAUCUCAUAUUCUAUCUCCUUACUCAACUCUAUAUAAACUCUCCACUCAUCUCAAAUCCUUAAGUUCAAGGAUAGGUUUCAAGAAAAUCAUGGUUCUAAGUCUCGAUUUAUCUCUCAUAUAAGGCUCGUCUAAUCUCAUUCAAACACAUAGGCAACACAAUCACAUAAGGCACAUAAGAAUCACAAUCAAACAUCAUUAAAACAUGCUCUGUUUUUACACUGAUUCAACUUCAAAAUUUAAUCUGUUCUGACUCCGACAUCUCCUGGACUCGAGACUCAUACCGAAAGAAAGAUCUUCGAGUCUAGUUUCAUAUAAAAAAAAGUAGAGUCGAAAACUCCAAGUGGUUUGAGAGAUAUGACGUUUUUACCACGAUCUACCAUAUUCGGCAGUUUUGAGCAAUCGAAAACUUGGAUUUUUGAAAAAUAGUAAACGUUGUCAAACUGGGCUCAAAUUUGGUGGAUAUCUAGCUAACACAAUAAGGUUAAUACCAUAAAAAUUUGGAAAUCUAUAUCACACAGGAAGCUACUGAAAUGAAUGACUCUUUCCCCUGUUCUCUGAAAUUCUCGGUAGUAAUUCAGUCUUGCUGGUUCAUAAAAUCAUAGAAGUGAUGUGUAACAAUUACGUCUCAAACUGAAUCCAAUUCUUCAUCAUAAAUUUCACUCCUUUACUCAACGUCGAAACUAGGCAUGCUUCUAAGGAUUCUCAGUUUACUCUCAUUAACUCAACUCGACAUACUCAAAGCAAAAGAAUCGGCAUGCACAAUGGAUUCUUCGAUGAAAAUUCUCAAAAAUUCAAAUUAAGCUCAAUAAACAAAUAACAUAAAUACAUAUCAUAUAACUCAAGAAAAUUCAAACAUCGACUUCCCCUUUUUCUCCUACAUUCGGCCAACACAUAAGUCAUUAGGAGUUGGUCCGUUUCGUCUCAUAUCGCAUAUACAAGCUCAAUUAUCAUCAAAAGCCAAUAUAAACAUGCUCGACUCAUAACUCAUCUUAUAUACAAGAUCUCAUGUAUGCACGCAAACUAAACUCGAAAUUUUCACAAAUCAACAUCAUUAACCAAUUAAUCAUGCUUUCUCCUUGCUAGUAGUCUAACUACAUAUAAACAAUCAUCAAUUCAAGUAUUUAUUCUAUUACUCAAAAGUUCCCAAUUAUAGCAAACUAAACUUAACCAAUUUUAGGUCAUUCUUGACAAUUAACCAAAUUGAUCCCUAAUUAUCAUUUCUAUCAUGCUUAAUAACAAUUAAACUUAGCCAAUUUAAUCAAUUAACACAUAGAUCACAAAGUCCAAUUUUUAACAAACUAAACUUUUUGAAAUUAAACAUCAUAAAUCAUUAAUCCAACCUUAGAUAUCAAAUUGGCACACUUAAUAGCAUAAAUAAGCAAUCAAUUAGUAAAUUAAACCAUAGAAUCAAUUUUACCCAAAUUACAUCAAACUAACUCAUAUCAAAAAUUACUAAUCAAUUUCAACCAUCAAUCCAAUCCAUCAAAUCUCAUAUAAACACUCUUCAAUAGCAUAUAUCAUCCAUCAAUUCAUCAAUCAACCUCAAAUCCCAAAACUUCCCCAAAUUUAGCAAACUAAACUCUUUGAAAAUUCAAAAUCCUUUCUAAUCCUUUUAAAAACUCAUGGAUAUCAACUCAAUAGGUUCUCAAUUACAUAAUUAUUCCUCGGUUUAAGAAAAGAAAGUGAAAAUAUUUGAAGGGUAAAAAUACCCCCAAUUUUCGAAAAUUAGAGAAAUGAUGGAGGGGUUUGAUUUUCUUGUUUUCUUCCAUCAAAACAUCAAGAAAUGAAGGUAGAUUUAAGGAAUCUUAAGGUUGAUCCACUUACCCUCAAUAUUUAAGAAAAUGGCGAACUCUUUGAUCCACUUGGGUUUGGAACUCUAGCUUGAUCAUUCUCUUGAUUCUUGGUGAUUGAAGGCUAGCUCUAGGAAUGGUGAUGGUGGAUGGAUCUAUGUGUUUAGAAGCUUUGGAGUGUUCUUCCAUGAUGGAUUGAAAAGAAAAUAGUGAGAGUAGAGAGGGAGAGAGAGAUGGACGAAAAUGAGAGGGGAGGAAGAGAGAGGAAAUCUUUGUUUAAUGCUAAACUUGGUCACUAAGUUUCCUAAGUAGUUAAUGAAUAUUAAAAGCCCACUUGGCCACUUGUUCCCUUCUCAUGCAAGGUUAGGAAUUAAACACAUGCUCAAUUAAUUAAAAUAAUCAUGUGAGUGUAAGGUAGUAUGUGGUGUAGG